AUGGCAGAGUCACUGCUUCUCCCUCUAGUGCGCGGCGUGGCUGGCAAGGCCGCAGACGCACUCGUCGAGACAGUGACCCGCAUGUGUGGCCUCGAUGAUGAUCGCCAAACGCUCGAGCGACGUCUACUAGCCGUCGAGAGCAAGCUGGCCAACGCUGAGGAGAUGAGCGAGACAAAUCCCUAUGUCAAGAGCUGGAUGAAGGAGCUCAAGUCCGUCGCCUACCAGGCCGACGACGUGCUCGAUGACUUCCAGUACGAGGCACUGCGCCGCCAGUCUAAGAUCGGCAAGUCCACUACCCGAAAGGUACUCAGCUACAUCAUGCGGCAACAUCCUUGGCGGCAGACGCACUCAAAACUGGACGAGACUACCCAGAUCUUUGGAAGAGAUGAUGAUAAGGAGGUGGUGGUGAAGUUACUGUUGGACCAGCAGGAUCAGCGGAGAGUGCAGGUGCUGCCCAUCAUUGGGAUGGGAGGUCUUGGCAAGACGACUCUUGCUAAGAUGGUCUAUAAUGACCAAGAGGUCCAGCAACAUUUCGAGUUGAAGAUGUGGCACUGUGUGUCCGAUAACUUUGAUUUCAUUGCUCUUUUGAAAUCCAUCAUUGAGUUGGUUGUAAGUGGAAGAUGUGACAUGCCUGACAUGAUUGAGUUGUUGCAAAAGAAACUUGAGCAAGUCAUUGGCCAAAAAAGGUUUAUGCUCGUGCUUGAUGAUGUGUGGAAUGAAGAUGAGAGGAAGUGGGAGGAUGUCCUGAAGCCUCUUUUGUGUUCUGUUGGUGGACCAGGAAGCGUAAUUAUUGUCACAACUCGAAGCCUGAAAGUGGCCUCUAUAAUGCAGACCCUUCGACCCCAUAAGCUAGCAUGUCUGAGUGAACAAGAUUCAUGGGAAUUGUUUGCACAGAAAGCAUAUAGCAAUGGAGCAGAGCAGGAGCAAGCAGAGUUGGUCAGCAUUGGCAGACGUAUUGUCAACAAAUGCAAGGGGGUGCCUCUUGCUCUCAAGACAAUGGGUGGAUUGCUAAGUUCAUAUCAACAAGUACAAGAAUGGAAGGCAAUCGAAGAAAAUGAUAUUGGGGAUAGUGUUAGAGGUAAAGAUGAGAUCAUGUCUAUAUUGAAGUUGAGCUACAAACACCUAUCAUCUGAAAUGAAGCAAUGUUUUACAUUUUUAGCAUUUUUCCCCAAGGACUAUGUGAUGAACAAGGAUAUGUUGAUCCAACUAUGGAUGGCAAAUGGUUUUAUUCAAGAGAAGAGACCAAUGGAAUUGACAUCAAGAGGAGAAUUCAUUUUCGAUGAGCUGGUUUGGAGGUCCUUCCUCCAAGAUAAACAGGAGCUCACAAUCAAUUAUGGCGCAACAAGUUAUGUGACUAUUAACUGUAAAAUGCAUGAUUUAAUGCAUGACCUAGCAAAAGAUGUCACAGAUGAAUGUGCAAGUAUAGAAGAACUAAAUCAGCAGAAAGCACUGUUAAAAGAUGUUUGUCACAUGCAAGUGUCAAAGGCUGAAUUGGAACAAAUCAGUGGGUUAUGCAAAGGCAGAACAAUCCUACGCACUUUGUUAGCUCCUUCAGGAUCACACAAGGACUUUAAAGUGUUGCUACAGGUAUCGACAUCACUAAGAGCACUACAUUGUCCCCCUUCUUCAAUUGUCAAUUGCAACAAGGCCAUAUAUGCAAAACAUCUACGGUAUCUCGACCUCUCUUGGUCUGAAAUCACUGAGUUGCCAGAAUCAAUAUGUGUGUUGUAUAACUUGCAAACAUUGCGGCUCAUUCAUUGCGAGGAGCUGCGGCAGUUACCAAAAGACAUGGCAAGACUGAGAAAGCUCAUCCAUCUUCAUCUUUCUGGUUGUGAUCGUCUUGAAAGAAUGUCUCCGAACUUUGGUCUACUAAACAGCCUUCACAUAUUAACAACAUUUGUUGUCGAUACUCGAGAAGGCCUUGGAAUAGAGCAGCUCAAAGACUUGCAAAACCUUAGCAAUAGGUUGGAACUACUGAAUUUGGACAAGAUAGAGAGUGGGGAGAAUGCAAAAGAAGCCAAUCUUGAUCAGAAGAAAAACUUAAGUGAGUUGUUGUUCUCUUGGGGCCAAGAAACAGAUGAUUUGCCUAAAGAUAUGGCAUGUAAUGUGGAAGAAGUGUUGCAGUGUUUAGAACCUCACAGUAAUAUCCAAAAUUUGGAGAUACUUGGAUAUGGUGGCUUAGAAAUAUCACAGUGGAUGAGAAAGCCUCAAAUGUUUAACUGCUUGAGAAAACUCAAAAUUUCUGACUGCCCAAGAUGCAAGAGUAUCCCUAUAGUAUGGCUCUCGGUCUCUCUAGAGACUUUGUGCUUACAGAGGAUGGAUAACCUGACCACAUUAUGUAAUAACCUUGAUGUGGAAGCUGGAGGAUGCAUGACCCCUCUGCCAAUUUUCCCUGGGUUGAAGAGGAUGGAGUUGAUUGAUUUACCAAGGCUGAAGAUGUGGGCAGCAAAUAGUGUGGGAGAAUCUGGUGAUAGCCUGGUAACGCUCUCGAUGGUUGAACAGCUAACGAUCAAAAAUUGCCCCAAGCUUGUAAGUAUUCCAGUGAUCCCGUUGUCAGCGACUUGA
rnacentral:rRNA from 1 species